rnacentral:rRNA from 1 species
CAGCCGCCGCGGUAAUACGUAGGUGGUAAGCGUUGUCCGGAAUUAUUGGGCGUAAAGCGCACGUAGGCGGAUCCUUAAGUCAGAGGUGAAAUCCCAAGGCUCAACCUUGGAACUGCCUUUGAUACUGGGGAUCUCGAGUUCGGGAGAGGUGAGUGGAACUGCGAGUGUAGAGGUGAAAUUCGUAGAUAUUCGCAAGAACACCAGUGGCGAAGGCGGCUCACUGGCCCGAUACUGACGCUGAGGUGCGAAAGCGUGGGGAGCAAACAGGAUUAGAUACCCCCGUAGUCCCUGUCUCUUAUAC